rnacentral:rRNA from 1 species
CGGACGGGUGAGUAACGCGUAAGAAUCUAACUUCAGGACGGGGACAACAGUUGGAAACGACUGCUAAUACCCGAUGUGCCGCAAGGUGAAAACUAAUUGGCCUGAAGAAGAGCUUGCGUCUGAUUAGCUAGUUGGUGGGGUAAGAGCCUACCAAGGCGACGAUCAGUAGCUGGUCUGAGAGGAUGAGCAGCCACACUGGGACUGAGACACGGCCCAGACUCCUACGGGAGGCAGCAGUGGGGAAUUUUCCGCAAUGGGCGAAAGCCUGACGGAGCAACGCCGCGUGAGGGAGGAAGGUCUUUGGAUUGUAAACCUCUUUUCUCAAGGAAGAAGUUCUGACGGUACUUGAGGAAUCAGCCUCGGCUAACUCCGUGCCAGCAGCCGCGGUAAUACGGGGGAGGCAAGCGUUAUCCGGAAUUAUUGGGCGUAAAGCGUCCGCAGGUGGUCAGCCAAGUCUGCCGUCAAAUCAGGUUGCUUAACGACCUAAAGGCGGUGGAAACUGGCAGACUAGAGAGCAGUAGGGGUAGCAGGAAUUCCCAGUGUAGCGGUGAAAUGCGUAGAGAUUGGGAAGAACAUCGGUGGCGAAAGCGUGCUACUGGGCUGUAUCUGACACUCAGGGACGAAAGCUAGGGGAGCGAAAGGGAUUAGAUACCCCUGUAGUC